UACGAAGGGGGCUAGCGUUGCUCGGAAUCACUGGGCGUAAAGGGUGCGUAGGCGGGUCUUUAAGUCAGGGGUGAAAUCCUGGAGCUCAACUCCAGAACUGCCUUUGAUACUGAGAGUCUUGAGUUCGGGAGAGGUGAGUGGAACUGCGAGUGUAGAGGUGAAAUUCGUAGAUAUUCGCAAGAACACCAGUGGCGAAGGCGGCUCACUGGCCCGAUACUGACGCUGAUGCACGAAAGCGUGGGGAGCAAACAGG
rnacentral:rRNA from 1 species